rnacentral:rRNA from 1 species
UGGGGAAUAUUGGACAAUGGGCGCAAGCCUGAUCCAGCCAUGCCGCGUGAGUGAUGAAGGCCCUAGGGUUGUAAAGCUCUUUCACCGGUGAAGAUAAUGACGGUAACCGGAGAAGAAGCCCCGGCUAACUUCGUGCCAGCAGCCGCGGUAAUACGAAGGGGGCUAGCGUUGUUCGGAUUUACUGGGCGUAAAGCGCACGUAGGCGGACUAUUAAGUCAGGGGUGAAAUCCCGGGGCUCAACCCCGGCACUGCCUUUGAUACUGGUAGUCUUGAGUUCGAGAGAGGUGAGUGGAAUUCCGAGUGUAGAGGUGAAAUUCGUAGAUAUUCGGAGGAACACCAGUGGCGAAGGCGGCUCACUGGCUCGAUACUGACGCUGAGGUGCGAAAGCGUGGGGAGCAAACAGG